GGAUUGUAGUCUGCAACUCGACUACAUGAAGCCGGAAUCGCUAGUAAUCGCGGAUCAGAAUGCCGCGGUGAAUACGUUCCCGGGUCUUGUACACACCGCCCGUCGCACCAUGGGAGCCGGAAAUGCCCGAAGUCAGUGACCCAACCAAUAAGGGAGGGAGCUGCCGAAGGCAGGUCUGGUGACUGGGGUGAAGUCGUAACAAGGUAAC
rnacentral:rRNA from 1 species